rnacentral:rRNA from 1 species
UACGUAAGGGGCGAGCGUUAUCCGGAUUUAUUGGGCAUAAAGCGCGUGUAGGUGGUGAUUUAAGUUAGGUGUUAAACCUUGGGGCUCAACCCUGAGUUGCACUUAAAACUGAAUCACUAGAGAGUAGUAGAGGGAAGCGGAACUCAUAGUGUAGCGGUGAAAUGCGUAGAUAUUAUGAGGAACACCAGUGGCGAAAGCGGCUACCUGGUCCGAUUUUGACGCUGAGGCGCGAAAGCGUGGGGAGCAAACAGG